UAUUUUAUAAUUUCAGUUUGUUAUCCCAUGAAUAUGAUGUGCACUUGUUAUUGUUUGUUUAAAAUUUGGUAUCUUGUUAAUCUGUAAAUCAUGCAACGUUGCUAUUCUGUAGUUUAUACUUAUUUCUAUUUUAUCUCUUUGAAAUUUUUUUAUAAGAAUAUAACAACAUAGUCUUGUGCAUGAAGCAUCAUUCUGUUAAAUAACACAUUUGUUAGAACAAUUGACCAAAUCUAAUGCCAUAGCUGUGUCAUGAACCAAGUAUUUUAAACUAGACAGUGAAAAUUUAGAGAGAAAAUUUUGAUAGGUAAAAAAUAAAAUAAAAUUUGAAAGUAUAAUAUACUUUUAAAUGGAUGGGUUGGAUAUCCAUCCAUAAAAAUAACUAAUGAAAUAGUAGAUAGGGUUGGACAAUUUUAUUAAAUGGGCCAUAGAUGGAUUGAAUUCUUUUAACACAUUUUUAAUAGAUUAUAAAUGGAUUAAGGGUUCAUUGUUUAUCCAUCUAUUAUAAAUUUAUAAUCAAAUUCAAAUUUAUCCAAACUAUCCAUUUUACACUCCUAUUAAGAACUAUGAGGAGAAUUCAAUCCAGCAAAGGCAUCCCAUAAAAUGGGACAAGGGAUAUGCUUGUUGUGGAUGCAGAUCUUUGAUAACCUAGAGUUCUAAUAGUUAAACUACACUUUAGUUAAGAAUCGAGAGAAUUAGCAAUGCCCAUAGACAUUACCAGCAUUAAUAUAUUAACAUAUUGGCCAGUUUUGUGGCAGUGGACAGUGGUGAUUGCAAUGGUUUAGCUGACUUUUCUGUUAAACUCUGUCAAAACUGUGCCACUACUAUUUUAGGAGGUUUUAUAUUUUAUGCCUGCUAUAUUUUUAUUCUGUAUCUGUUAUGUAUCUUGCAAUUAAUACUAGGUGUGUAUAUUAGGAAGCAAUCCCACAAUCACAAGGAUUUGUCCCCUAGAAUUAGCUGUCCCUAUUUCCUAAAAUAGCAACAGGCUUGUGUACAUAUAGGCACCUGGUGUACCUCAUAAAAGAUAUACAAUAAUAUUAUUCCUUCUAAAUCUGAGAUGGUAUCAGAGCUUCUGAUCUUUGGGAGCCUCUGACUGCGCACCCUAAUCCUUAUCGCAGCCUUCAUUGCUGCGCAUUUCACUUUGUACCUUGAUCGCACCUAUCAGUGAUGGCUGAAAUCGUGAACCCUAUUCUGGAAACUGGGGACAAAUCCCAGACUGCUGGUGAAUUGUAGAAUAUUCAUUCAGCUUAUCGAUUAACUGGAAAGAAUUAUCUCAAAUGGUCUCAACUCAUUAGGACGAUCUUGAAAGGAAAAGGAAAGGUCAGUCACGUGACUGAUGUUGCCCUUGAUGAAAAGGAUGCCAAGUUCAAAUCAUGGGAUGAAGAAGACUCCAUGAUCAUGGCAUGGUUGUGGAAUUCAAUGGUCCCAGAAAUCAGUGAUACCUGCAUGUUCCUCAAAUCAGCAAAGGAAAUUUGGGAGGCUGUAGAACAAACCUACUCUAAGGCCAAGGAUGCUGCUCAAAUCUAUGAUGUAAAGGUGAAAACCGUGGCUGCCAAACAAGGGAAUAAAUCAGUUACAGAAUAUGCCAAUCAACUCAAGUCUCUAUGGAUGGAACUGGACCAUUACCGAGUUAUAAAAGCUAAGUGUUUAGAAGACUCAGCAAUCCUUAAGGAGUAUAUUGAACAAGAUAGGGUCUACGAUUUUCUGGUGGGCCUGAACCCUGAAUAUGACUAGGUCCGAAUCCAGAUCCUGGAAAAGGAGAAAGUCCCAGGGCUUAAUGAAGUGGUAGCCAGUAUCCGGAGUUAAGAAAGCAGGAGAGGACUGAUGCUAGAGACCUCAACUACCGAAAGCUUAGCAAUGGUGGUCGAAGGAGGAACAACCAUGGUUGCUGAUCAGAAAAAAUAUGAAGGGGUCUGGUGUACCUACUACAACAAGUGAUGCCACACAAGGGAGAAGUGCUGGAAAUUACAUGGAAAAUCCCCAAGCUAAGAAUGGGGGCAGAAAGGAGAGUGAGAAUGGGGACACAAGGGAGGCCCUCCAAGAAAGGGGGGAUAAACACACAUUGCUAAUAGACAAGGUGAAGGAUCUGUCCAGCUAAAUCAUGAAGAGAUAGAAAGGGCAAGAUCCUUCCUUAGUAAAAUGGAAACGCCCACAGUUACAUGCUCCUUAACAUAUUCUAGACAAAUAAUCGGGGAGGAUGAUUGGACAUGCUAGAAAAUGGAAUGGCCUUUACUACAUGGAUGAUCCCAAUCAGCCUACCAAGAGUCACUCUCAUAUCUGAAUCUACCAUGACCAGUAAAGAGAAAGCUCAACUAUACCAUUGUUGCCUGGGACACCCUUCAUUUCGAGUUAUAUAAGUUCUUUUGCCUUCCUUGUUUAAGAAUUUAAAUGUGGAAAAUCUUCAGUAUGAGGUGUGCAAACUUGCUAAACACAAGUGUGUACCUUUUACCAUUAGCAAUAAAAAGAGUUUCUCUCCUUUUUUAUCUUGUUCAUACUGAUGUGUGGGGUCCCUCCCAUAUUCCUAAUAUCUUAGGUGCUAAAUGGUUUUUAACCUUCAUAGAUGAUUGUACUCAGGUGACUUGGGUUUUCUUAUUGAAACAAAAAUCUGAGGUUAGCUCUGUAAUUUUACAAUUUGUCUCAAUGAUUAAAAAUCAAUUUGGAGUCAAUAUCAAGAGAAUUAGGUCUGAUAAUGCCAAGGACUACUUUAAUCUUGUGCUCAACUCUUUUUGUCAAAAGAAAGGGAUAAUCCAUUAAUCUUCAUGUGUUAACACACCCCAACAGAAUUGCAGAAAGGAAAAAUGGACACUUACUAGACCAAACUAGAGCACUUCUUUUUCAAAAUAAUGUUCCUAAGUUCUAGGGGGAAGCCAUACUUACUACCACCUACCUAAUCAAUAGGUUACCGUCUAAAAUCUUAGAAUCAAAAACUCCCAUGGAAGUCCUAUCCUCAUUCUACCCACAUGUGGCCCCUACAAAUAAACUCCAACCUAGAAUAUUUGGGUGUCUAUCCUUUGUGCAUGUUCAUAGGAAUGAAAGGGGAAAACUUGAUCCUAGGGCAGUAAAAUGUAUAUUCUUAGGGUAUUCUGCCACACAAAAGGUAUAGAUGCUUUCACCCUCCAAAAAAAUUGUGUCAAGGGAUGUCACCUUCAACGAACAAGAGAGCUACUUCAAGCAGCCUCAUCUCAGGGGGAGAAUGUAAGAGAGGAAGAUGAGCCUCCCAUGCUUCCAAAUAUGACAUUUGGACCAGAAAUCAGAAGAAAUGGUGUUGUUGAAUCAGAACAAGAACCUGAAUCAGUAGUAGAACAUCGUGUUGUUGAAUCAGAAUAAGCACCUGAAUCAGUAGUAGAACCUGCACCUGAACUCGGAACAGCAGGACCUGCAUCUGAACCCGCACCUAAUAGUAGGAAAUUUGGAAAGAAUAUGACAUAUUCCAGAAGAGAAAAGGCCAUUCCAGGAUCUGUGCAUGUCCAAGAAUCCAACCCAACAUCGUUACAUAAGGUAACACUUUCUGAUCCUAUAAAUUCCAAUGAUUCUAAAGAGUUUGUUUCUGAAAAAUCAGAUGCACAGGUGGACCGAAACCUAGACCUUCCCAUUGCUCUUAGAAAGGGAACCAGAACAUGUACCCAACAGCCACUUUACCCUCUAUCCAAUUUCUUAUCCUUUGAAAAAUUCUCUCCUACCCAUAAAACCUUUUGUACAAACCUAAACACUACAACCACACCUUCCUCUGUAUCUGAAGCAUAAUCUGACAGGAAAUGGAAACAAGCCAUGGACUUGAAGAUAGAGGCGUUGAAGAAAAACAGGACCUGGGAACUUGUCACCUUACCAACUGGAAAAAAACCAGUAGGAUGAAAAUGGGUAUAUGCAGUAAAGUAUCAGGCUAAUGGGACCAUUGAAAGGUAUAAGCCAAGGUUGGUGACCCAAGGAUUCACUCAAACCUAUGGAAUGGAUUACUUGGAGACAUUUGUCCUGGUUGCCAAGAUGAACACGGUCAGAGUAAUAUUGUCAUUAGCAGCAAACCAUGAUUGGAAUCUGCAGCAGUUCGAUGUGAAGAAUGCAUUUCUACAUGGAGACCUUGAAGAGGAAAUAUACAUGGAGUUGCCCCCUGGUUAUGAUGGACACAGGUUGCUGCAGGAACCGUUUACAAGUUAAAAAAGGCGCUAUACGGGCUUAAACAAUCACCAAGAGCAUGGUUUGGGAGAGUCACCAAAGUUAUGACGGGUCUUGGCUACAAACAGAGCCAAGGGGAUCACACUUUAUUUAUCAAACAUUCAGUUUUAGGGGUAACAACAAUAUUAUUGGUGUAUGUAGAUGAUAUUAUAGUAACUGGGGAUGACAAAAAGGAGCAGCAAAUGUUAAGCCAAUGCCUUGCCAAGGAGUUCGAGAUCAAGACAUUAGGGAAACUUAAAUAUUUUUUGGGGAUUGAAGUGGCCCAUUCCAAGAAAGGAAUCUUCAUAUCUCAACAAAAAUGUAUUACUGAUUUGCUUAAAGAAGUAGGUAACCUAGUGACUUGGAAGAGCAAAAAACAAAGUGUGGUAGCUAGAUCUAGUGCUGAAGCAGAGUUUCGAGCAAUGUCCCAAGGAAUAUGUGAACUUCUAUGGCUGAAGAUUAUAUUUGAGGACUUGAAGGUAAAGUGGGAUGAAACUAUGAGGUUAUAUUGUGACAAUAAAUCUGCAAUUAGUAUAGCCCACAACCCAGUGCAGCAUGAUAGAACUAAACAUAUUGAGGUGGACAGAUAUUUUAUUAAGGAAAAGCUAGACAGUGGCUUGAUUUGCACCCCAUAUGUGUCUACUCAGGGUCAACUUGCAGACAUACUCACCAAGGGGCUGAACAGCAGUAACUUCAAAAGAGUUAUAUCCAAGCUGGGAAUGGAGAACACUUAUUCUCCAACUUGAGGGGGAGUGUCAAAACUGUGUUACUCCUAUUUUGGGAAGUUUUAUAUUUUAUCCCUGCUGUAUUUUUAUUCCGUAUCUGUUAUGUAUCUUGCUAUUAAUACUAGGUGUGUAUAUUAGGAAGCAAUCCCAUAAUCACAGAGAUUUGUCCCCUAGAAUUAGCUGUCCCUAUUUCCUAAAAUAGCCAACAGGCUUGUGUAUAUAUAGGCACCUGGUGUACCUCAUAAAAGAUAUACAAUAAUAUUAUUCCUUCUAAA